UACAGAGGUCUCGAGCGUUAUUCGGAUUCAUUGGGCUUAAAGCGUACGUAGGCGGCUGUGCAGGCAUCGUGUGAAAUCCCCUGGCUCAACCAGGGAACUGCUCGGUGAACCGCACGUCUUGAGGCAAGUAGAGGCUGUCGGAACGAUAGGUGGAGCGGUGAAAUGCGUAGAUAUCUAGCGGAACGCCGAAGGUGAAAACAGGCAGCUGGGCUUGAUCUGACGCUGAGGUACGAGAGCGUGGGGAGCGAACCGG
rnacentral:rRNA from 1 species